CACCUACUUGUGGAAAAGAAGGAAUAGCAUAUGGAGGACAUUAGAAGAAGGAAGGGAAUAAUGAAGGGAGGAAAUCGGAUGGGGAGAUGAACCCUGUGAGACUGUGCACUCUGAGAAACAAACUGAGGGUUUUAGAGGGGAGGGAGAAGGGAGAGGAGAUG